rnacentral:rRNA from 1 species
UACGUAGGGGGCAAGCGUUGUCCGGAAUCAUUAGGCGUAAAGAGCGCGUAGGCGGCCCUGUAAGUCCGCUGUGAAAGUCAAGGGCUCAACCCUUGAAUGCCGGUGGAUACUGCAGGGCUAGAGUCCGGAAGAGGAGAGUGGAAUUCCUGGUGUAGCGGUGAAAUGCGCAGAUAUCAGGAAGAACACCAAUGGCGAAGGCAGCUCUCUGGGACGGUACUGACGCUGAGACGCGAAAGCGUGGGGAGCGAACAGG